rnacentral:rRNA from 1 species
UGCAGUCGAGCGGUAGAGAGAAGCUUGCUUCUCUUGAGAGCGGCGGACGGGUGAGUAAUGCCUAGGAAUCUGCCUGGUAGUGGGGGAUAACGUUCGGAAACGGACGCUAAUACCGCAUACGUCCUACGGGAGAAAGCAGGGGACCUUCGGGCCUUGCGCUAUCAGAUGAGCCUAGGUCGGAUUAGCUAGUUGGUGGGGUAAUGGCUCACCAAGGCGACGAUCCGUAACUGGUCUGAGAGGAUGAUCAGUCACACUGGAACUGAGACACGGUCCAGACUCCUACGGGAGGCAGCAGUGGGGAAUAUUGGACAAUGGGCGAAAGCCUGAUCCAGCCAUGCCGCGUGUGUGAAGAAGGUCUUCGGAUUGUAAAGCACUUUAAGUUGGGAGGAAGGGCAGUUACCUAAUACGUGAUUGUUUUGACGUUACCGACAGAAUAAGCACCGGCUAACUCUGUGCCA